UCCUGGUUAGCUGAGUUGAUAGAGCGCUGCAUUAGAAAUGGAGAGGUCCCUGGUUCGAUAACAGGACCAGGCA
rnacentral:tRNA from 2 species